rnacentral:tRNA from 1 species
GCUCGGAUAACUCAGUGGUAGAGUACGGGAUUGCAGUUGUGUGGGUACUUGCCCACCUGCGACCAUCCUGAAGUCAUCAGUUCGAUCCUGGUUCCGAGCU